GAAGAGAGAGAAUCUCAAGCAGACUCCCUGCUGAGCUUGGAGCACAAUGAGGGCUCAAUCCUGUGACAUUGAGAUCAGGACAUGAGCCAAAACCAAGAGUCAGAUACUCAACUGAGCCACCCA